AUUCUACUCCCUCCAUCCGGAAAUACUUGUCAUUGGAAUGGAUGUAUCUAGAUGUAUUUUAGUUCUAGAUACAUCCAUUUUCAUCUAUUUUGAUGACAAGUAUUUCCGGACGGAGGGAGUAUGAU
rfam:Triticum aestivum genome assembly, contig: Triticum_aestivum_CS42_TGACv1_scaffold_130584_2BL